rnacentral:rRNA from 1 species
GACGAACGCUGGCGGCGCGCUUAACACAUGCAAGUCGAGCGAAGCGGCGGACGGGUGAGUAACACGUGAGUAACCUGCCUUAGACAUUGGGAUAGCCUCGGGAAACCGGGUUUAAUACCAAAUGGUCUAAGAUGGACUCGCGUCCCAUUAGCUAGUUGGUGAGGUAACGGCCCACCAAGGCGACGAUGGGUAGCCGGCCUGAGAGGGUGACCGGCAACAUUGGAACGGAGAAACGGUCCAAACUCUACGGGUGGCAGCAGGGGGGAAUAGUGCACAAUGGAGGGAACUCUGAGGCAGGGACGCGGCGUGAACGAAGAAGGCUUUAGAGUCGUAAAGUGCUUUUAUAUGGGAAGCGGUACCAUAAGAAAAAGCCCCGGCUAACUACGUGCCAGCAGCCGCGGUAAGUC